GAUGAAGAACGUAGCGAAAUGCGAUAAGUAAUGUGAAUUGCAGAAUUCAGUGAAUCAUCGAAUCUUUGAACGCACAUUGCGCCCCUUGGUAUUCCGAGGGGCAUGCCUGUUCGAGCGUCAUUAUAACCCCUCAAGCUCAGCUUGGUGUUGGGGCCUGCUGCACUGGCAGCCCUUAAAAUCAGUGGCGGCGCCAUCUGGCUCUAAGCGUAGUAAUUCUUCUCGCUAUGGAGUCCUGGUGGAUGCUUGCCAUCAACCCCCAAUUUUUCUAUGGUUGACCUCGGAUCAGGUAGGGAUACCCGCUGAACUUAAGCAUAUCAUAAGGGAGGA
rnacentral:misc_RNA from 1 species